CAAAUGACUCUCGGCAAUGGAUAUCUCGGCUCUUGCAUCGAUGAAGAACGUAGUGAAAUGCGAUAACUUGGUGUGAAUUGCAGAAUCUCGUGAACCAUUGAGUCUUUGAACGCAAGUUGUGCCCGAGGCCUUGUGGCCAAGGCACGCCUGCUUGGGCGU
rnacentral:rRNA from 1 species